GUCACCGUGCUGCUGGUCCUUGUCACCGCUGCCACCGGCGCUGCUGGCACCCCGGGGGCAUCCUGGAGUGCUGUGCCCAGGAGGACUGUGCCCUACGAGGAGCUGCAGGACACUGCCAAGCGUUUCUCCCAGGGCGGGGUCUCUCACUACCUGACGCUGACGCUGGACGAGGCCGAGGCGCUGCUCUACGUGGGCGCCCGCGAGGCCGUGUUCGCCCUGGCCACGGGCACCGUGGAGCUCAAGGCGGCGGUGAGGCCCUGGGGCACCCCAAAAGCAGGGUGGCAUUCGGGGUGGGGGGUGCCCUGCCAGCCCCUGACCCCUGUGCCACCCCCAGAUCUCCUGGGAGGCGCCCGUGGAGAAGAAGGCGGAGUGCGUGCAGAAGGGCAAGAACAACCAGACCGACUGCUUCAACUACGUGCGCUUCCUGCAGAGCUACAACAGCUCCCACCUGUACGCCUGCGGCACCUACGCCUUCCAGCCCAAGUGCACCUACAUCGAGCUCUCCGGCUUCACCCUGGACCCGGUGGCGUUCGAGGACGGCAAAGGCAAAUGUCCCUACGACCCCACCAAGGGCCACACCGGCCUCAUCGUGGACGGGGAGCUCUACUCUGCCACCUUCAACAACUUCCUGGGCACGGAGCCCGUCAUCCUGCGCAACCUGGGCCCGCACUACUCCAUGAAGACGGAGUACCUGACCUCGUGGCUCAACGAGCCUCACUUCGUGGCGUCGGCCUUCGUGCCCGAGAGCGCGGGCAGCGGCGACGACGACAAGGUUUACUUCUUCUUCAGCGAGCGCGCCGUGGAGUACGACUGCUACGCCGAGCAGGUGGUGGCACGGGUGGCACGGGUCUGCAAGGUACGCCUGGGCACACCUGGGCACACCUGGGGACGUGUCCUGAGCUGGUUUGGGGCUGGGUUUGGGCCAUUGAGUAUGACCACUACACUGAGCAGGUGGUGGCACAGGUGGCACGGGUCUGCAAGGUACCUUGUCCUAGUGCCCAUGGUGGCCUUGUCAUGGUGCCCAUGGUCAGCAUGGUGGCU
rnacentral:lncRNA from 1 species